UGGAAGUUGUGUUCCCUCCGGGACGGUGUCAUUUUAACAUCAGGACGGUUCCGGUUGUGUAUCUAUCACCAUAACAACGGCGGAUAAUGACCGAUACACAUCAGGUGUGGGGGAUUUAGGCUGGGAAAUUGGAGUGUACAAAAGGGAAAGCGAAGAGACAGUUGCGGGGUUCUCCCUGCAGAGAAGUCGUUCUUGGGUGGUGUCGCUGAUUCGGGCAGGUUUCUGAGAAGUGUUGUGAGAGCGUGGCUGUAUUGAGGGUGCAACGCGAGUUGAAGAUGUCAAAUGCUGGAAGGCGAGUGAGAUAUGGAGACUGAGUGAAGACUGGAGAACACUAUCAUCGUCGGAAGGGAGAUAAGUAGUAUGACAUCAGUUUUGAUUGAAUGUAUGCACCCGCACUGAGCUGAAGACGACGUUGUUAAGUGUAUUAAUUAUGAGUGUAAGCGUCACUUGAGAGUGGUUGGAUUGGGUUAUCAUUGAAUUCUUGUUUCUCUUCUUCUGAGUGUGAGCGAUGCUGAGAAAGCUCUGUUUAUUGUGCCAGUAAGGAGGCAUCCGAAUUCCCUCGUUAUGAGAUGAGAACGGACUCAGUACGACAGUGAAAGGAUUGAUCGUGGGAGAAUUCCUCUGCCAACGCCCCCUUAUGUGAUGCCUGCCUGAAGGAGAGCCACAUUGGACACACCCUCGUCUGUUUUACAGUAAUAGACUCCAGCCAGAAUUCUUCUGGUAAUGUCCUCUCAUGUGAUGCCUGCUUGAGGACGGACAUAGAUUGAACACACUUCCGUCUGCUGUACAGAAACGCACGCUCCAGCCGUAAGCCCUUGCCCCUGUAUUAAGGAAAAACAUUCAUGUAUUUGGAUAACUUACUCUGUUUAUUCAAUAGAGAAUUCUUCUGUUAACAUCCUCUUAUGUGAUGCCUGCUUGAGGAGAGACAUUCAUUGGACACACCCCCAACUGCGUUACAGAAACACACUCUAGCUGUAAGCUCUGCACUGUGGGAAAGCAUGCAUGUACUUGGAUAACUUAUUCUGUCUGUUUUGUAAAGGAAUCCCUCCACCAGAGCUCCUCGGGUGGAGGUCUGCUUGAAGGAAGAGACUCGUGUUGGAAGCACUCACGUUGUUCGCUUGGCAGAGGGGAAAACACCGUUCUGACAGAAAAGAGAGAAGCAGCUGCGUGUAGACGCACCGCUUUCAUCAUCAUCACUUCAUGGACCAAGGACCAAAUCUCUCUAUUAAAUAACUAUUAACUAUGACUUUUGCCUCAAUAAACUGAAUUUUUCAGAAUUAAAUCUUAGGUAUGGGGUAGAUUAAGGGAUGCAAAAUAUGAUCAUGCAGAAGAAGGCAUUAAUAUGUGCUUUAAAAGUACUAAUAAACAUACAAUAUUCUAAUAAUAAAUGCUAAUAAGCAACUAGUUUUGAUUGAACUGGUCGCUACAAAGUGCUCUCGAACCCCUUGUAAUGGAGACUUUUGGUUUGGACACUUUGUGUUUCAUUACAGUUGGCCAUGUUUUAUUUGUUAUCAUGAUUAUUCAAUUAAUUUAGUCAUUAUGUUUAGGUGUGUGAGUGUAACUAUCAUGUGUAUAUUAGUUCAGUCCCAUUUGUGCUUGGUUGUCCGGUGUCUUCAUUGUUAGCAUUGUGUUUGGACUGUUGCUCUUCUGUACAUUAUUGCCUGGUGGAUUAUUAAAGACUACUACCUUUAUUCGUCG